rnacentral:rRNA from 1 species
UACGGGGGGGAGCAAGCGUUGUUCGGAUUUACUGGGCGUAAAGGGCGCGUAGGCGGCCACUGCAAGUCAGUUGUGAAAUCUCCGGGCUUAACCCGGAAAGGUCAACUGAUACUGCAGGGCUAGAGUGCAGAAGGGGCAACUGGAAUUCUCGGUGUAGCGGUGAAAUGCGUAGAUAUCGAGAGGAACACCUGCGGCGAAGGCGGGUUGCUGGGCUGACACUGACGCUGAUGUGCGAAAGCCAGGGGAGCGAACGGG